rnacentral:rRNA from 1 species
AUGAAGGGGGCCAAAUCCAAGGGCGCCGCCAAGGCCGACGCCAAGUUGGCGGUGAAGAGCAAGGGGGCGGAGAAGCCGGCCGCCAAGGGGAAGAAGGGCAAGGCCGGCAAGGACCCCAACAAGCCCAAGAGGGCGCCAUCCGCCUUCUUCGUCUUCAUGGGCGAGUUCCGCGAGGAGUUCAAGCAGAAGAACCCCAAGAACAAGUCCGUCGCCGCCGUCGGCAAAGCGGCCGGUGAGAGGUGGAAGAGCUUGAGCGAAUCGGAAAAGGCCCCCUAUGUGGCCAAGGCCAACAAGCUCAAGGGCGAGUACAACAAGGCCAUUGCUGCCUACAACAAGGGCGAGAGCGCUGCUGCUGCUGCCCCAAAGAAGGCUGCGGCCAAGGAGGUAGAGGAGGAAGAUGAGGAGGAAUCUGACAAGUCCAAGUCGGAGAUCAAUGACGACGAUGACGAUGAGGGCAGCGAUGAGGACGAGGACGAUGACGAGUGA